AUUGAACGCUGGCGGCAGGCCUAACACAUGCAAGUCGAACGGCAGCGGGGAGUAGCUUGCUACUCUGCCGGCGAGUGGCGGACGGGUGAGUAAUGCCUGGGGAGUUGCCCAAUCGAGGGGGAUACCAGUUGGAAACGACUGCUAAUACCGCAUACGCCCUGAGGGGGAAAGUGGGGAUCUUCGGACCUAUCGCGAUUGGAUGCACCCAGGUGGGAUUAGCUAGUUGGUGAGGUAACGGCUCACCAAGGCGACGAUCUCUAGCUGGUCUGAGAGGAUGACCAGCCACACUGGAACUGAGACACGGUCCAGACUCCUACGGGAGGCAGCAGUGGGGAAUAUUGCGCAAUGGGGGCAACCCUGACGCAGCAACGCCGCGUGAGUGAGGAAGGUUUUCGGACUGUAAAGCUCUGUCGAGCGGGAAGAAGUGUACCAUGGCUAAUAUCCAUGAUAUUUGACGGUACGCUAGGGAAGCACGGCUAA
rnacentral:rRNA from 1 species